UCGGAGCCAAGAACUUUAUUUAGCUGGCCCAAAAUCCCACAGACCUGGACUGUCCUCCUGAGCUGGUGUCCUUGCUGGGGAAGAGGACAAAAACUGGUGAGCAGGCUUUGCCCUGGGAAGACAGCCA
rnacentral:sRNA from 1 species